GAUGAACGCUAGCGAUAGGCCUAACACAUGCAAGUCGAGGGGCAGCAUAGAGUAGCAAUACUUUGAUGGCGACCGGCGCACGGGUGAGUAACACGUAUGCAACCUACCUACAUCAGGGGAAUAACCCGGAGAAAUUCGGACUAAUACCGCAUAAUACAGGGAUGCCGCAUGGCAAUAUUUGUUAAAGAUUUAUCGGAUGUAGAUGGGCAUGCGUUCCAUUAGCUUGUUGGUGAGGUUACGGCUCACCAAGGCAACGAUGGAUAGGGGAACUGAGAGGUUUGUCCCCCACACUGGAACUGAGACACGGACCAGACUCCUACGGGAGGCAGCAGUGAGGAAUAUUGGUCAAUGGACGAGAGUCUGAACCAGCCAAAUCGCGUGAAGGAAGACUGCCCUACGGGCCGUAAACUUCUUUUGUACAGGAAUAAAAGACAUUACGUGUAAUGCAUUGCAUGUACUGUACGAAUAAGCAUCGGCUAACUCCGUGCCAGCCGCCGCGGUAA
rnacentral:rRNA from 1 species